UGUUUAUUUUGAAUUUUCUUUUAUUAGUUAUUUGUGUUUUAAUUAGUGUUGCUUUUUUAACUUUAUUAGAGCGUAAGGUUUUAGGUUACAUCCAAAUUCGAAAGGGCCCAAAUAAAGUAGGUUUUGUAGGAAUUCCUCAACCCUUUAGUGAUGCUAUUAAGUUAAUUUGUAAG